UUUCUAUAGUUUAUUACCAGAAAAGUUUCUCUGAAUGUGUAGAGCACUGGAAACCAUGAGGAAGAGGCACAGCGUUCUCCCUUGAGCAUCAAGUUGGCUGUUGGUGUUGCUUUGCUGCAAAUGCCAUUUGUCAUUGUCUUCCUUGUCUUCCUUUAGGAGAGUAAGAGGGAGAGGACACAGUCUGGGUAG
rnacentral:snoRNA from 10 species